rnacentral:rRNA from 1 species
CAGUAGCCGCGGUAAUACGUAGGGUGCAAGCGUUAAUCGGAAUUACUGGGCGUAAAGCGUGCGCAGGCGGUUAUAUAAGACAGAUGUGAAAUCCCCGGGCUCAACCUGGGAACUGCAUUUGUGACUGUAUAGCUAGAUUACGGCAGAGGGGGAUGGAAUUCCGCGUGUAGCAGUGAAAUGCGUAGAUAUGCGGAGGAACACCGAUGGCGAAGGCAAUCCCCUGGGCCUGCACUGACGCUCAUGCACGAAAGCGUGGGGAGCAAACAGGAUUAGAUACCCCCGUAGUCCCUGUCUCUUAUAC